AGUGAACGCUGGCGGUAGGCCUAACACAUGCAAGUCGAACGGCAGCACAGGAGAGCUUGCUCUCUGGGUGGCGAGUGGCGGACGGGUGAGGAAUACAUCGGAAUCUACUUUUUCGUGGGGGAUAACGUAGGGAAACUUACGCUAAUACCGCAUACGACCUACGGGUGAAAGCAGGGGAUCUUCGGACCUUGCGCGAUUGAAUGAGCCGAUGUCGGAUUAGCUAGUUGGCGGGGUAAAGGCCCACCAAGGCGACGAUCCGUAGCUGGUCUGAGGGGAUGAUCAGCCACACUGGAACUGAGACCCGGUCCAGACUCCUACGGGAGGCAGCAGUGGGGAAUAUUGGACAAUGGGCGCAAGCCUGAUCCAGCCAUACCGCGUGGGUGAAGAAGGCCUUCGGGUUGUAGAGCCCUUUUGUUGGGAAAGAAAUCCAGCUGGCUAAUACCCGGUUGGGAUGACGGUACCCAAAGAAUAAGCACCGGCUAACUUCGUGCCAGCCGCCGCGGUAA
rnacentral:rRNA from 1 species